rnacentral:ncRNA from 1 species
UGCAUGGUUGUUGUCAGCUUGUGUCGUAAGGUGUUGGUUUAAGUCUCGCAACGAGCGCAACCCUCGUGUUUAGUUGCCACUAUGAGUUUGGAACCUUGAACAGACUGCCGGUGUUAAGCUGGAGGAAGGAGAGGAUGAGAGAUUUUCCCA